rfam:Hyphopichia burtonii NRRL Y-1933 unplaced genomic scaffold HYPBTscaffold_7, whole genome shotgun sequence.
GGUGUUGUGACCGAGCGGUUAAGGUGUUGCACUCGAAUCUUUCGGGCCAUGCAAUGGGAUUUCCCGCGCAAGUUCGAAUCUUGCCAACAUCG